AGCUUUCUCAUGAUUUCUCCUGAGAGAAGCUGUGAGAGAAGCAGAGAAAAGAGAAUCAAAACAAUUCUUAUCUCACUUGCUGCUGCUGUGUUUGUGCACAUGUGGAAUGUGUUCUAGAGAUUGUUUACCCAAGCAGAUACAGCUGUUCUCAGGGAUGGCAACCACUGCCAGAACUGGACCUGGCCUGCAUCUACAGUGGAGGAAGCUUCUGCCUGGGAAGUGAGGAUAACUAGGACAGGCGAUUGGAAAGCAUUUUCAAGGAGAAAAAAGAAAGAGGAAGGAAAACAUGUUGUAUAGGAAGAAAUAAAAUGUGAAAGAGGAUCUGGAAAAGCAACCAAAGAAACAAAGGGACAGAUUAGCCAAAUGUACCAGAAGAAGGGAUCCAGUUUACCUCAGCAACCUUUU